rnacentral:sRNA from 1 species
GAGCCAGCGCUGGCACACCUCGGUUCGAC